UUUGGCAAAACCAGAACAAAAGCAAGCCUGCUGGGUCGCUUUCAGUUCCAACUCUGGAGGAACAGCAGCCUUCAGGCUCUAUUUCUAUCUCUGCCCCUCCUCACCAACUUGCCCCCCUCUCCUUUCCAGCCCCAAGCCCAGACGUCCAAUUAUCUGAGCGCUCCCUGACUCAGUGGCAGCCUGACUCAUUCGGAGGACACAGCAUCAGCAGUCGGAUAGAAAGAUCACUGGGGUUGGAGUCAGGAGGCCCGAGCUCUCGGCUUGCUUUGCCAGGAGCUUGCCAAGCUGCUGUGGAAAGGAAACCAAGGCGAUGUCCAUGUUACAGUGGUUCUCAAUUGGGACUGACCACCAAAGAAGCAGAGGAUCUAGAGGAUCUAGAAGCCAUAGUACCUAAUAAUGACGGAUCCCAUUUCCAAAAUAAUUCACAAUUUAUAAUGUCCUUUCCUCCCAACAAACUUGUACAAGUAUCAUUCUUUCCAUUUCGAUGUUGAGUCAACAAGAGAACAAGAAAGAGAUGUACCCUGGGC
rnacentral:lncRNA from 1 species